rnacentral:rRNA from 1 species
GAACGGGUGAGUAACGUGGGCAAUCUGCCCUGCACUCUGGGACAACCCUGGAAACGGGUAAUACCGGAUACUAACCUCGCAGGCUGAGGGUCGAAAGUCCGGCGGUGCAGGAUGAGCCCGCGGCCUAUCAGCUAGUUGGUGAGGUAAUGGCUCACCAGGCGACGACGGGUAGCCGGCCUGAGAGGGCGACCGGCCACACUGGGACUGAGACACGGCCCAGACUCCUACGGGAGGCAGCAGUGGGGAAUAUUGCACAAUGGGCGAAAGCCUGAUGCAGCGACGCCGCGUGAGGGAUGACGGCCUUCGGGUUGUAAACCUCUUUCAGCAGGGAAGAAGGACGGUACCUGCAGAAGAAGCGCCGGCU